GGGGUUUACUGUGAGCCUAUGAUACUGGUUUGUAUCCUGGGAAGGGUGGAGUGAAAUGGCUUGCAUUUUCUUUUGGCAUACAGUAGAGGCACUUCAUAACUUCAUGACAUCAACUGCCAUCUGAAACACAGAUGAACACCAGGACUUACACAGUGUCUAUUAUUAUUAUACACACAAAUACAAGAUACAUAAAUUUGUCUGAUUGUAAUAUUCUAUAUGCGUGGAGGUUUCUUGCUCAAUGAAGACAAAAUGGAAUGAUAAAAUUGGUGCCUACUAACAUACCCUGCUUUGUAGGAACUUCAAGAUAUCUUAAAAGUUCAGUUGUUCUGUUGAAAUGUCAAGGACUCAACAAAUAGCAAAAACUCUUUUCUGAUAGAUAGCUUUUGUUGUCAUUCUUUUAAGUUCGCUUUUGGUAUUAUUUUAGUGGAAUAAUCCAUGCAGCAGUCUUUGAAAAGGUGUCUCAGGCAUUUUCUUUGUACUAAUGUCUUUCCAUAAGUGUCAAUUGAAUAGUCAAAGAAAUACUGUGUUUCAAUCAGUAGGCACAAAUUUGCCUUAUAAGUAACAACAAAAGUGACAUAUGUCUAAUUUUUCUUGCUAUAAAAUCAUUAAGUAGUACCUAUGUUUUCUGACUGACAAUGUUUAUAUCAUUAAGACAAACAAAACAGGGCUUUUACUGUUCCAUUCUGAUGUGAUUUUGGCUAGGAAAUAUAUGAGAGACUUUAAAAAAUGUACUCAUUUGCUUGAAUAAAAGCCUUUACCUUUUGAAGUGUUCUAUAAUAUGACAAACUACUGUGGUUUUGUUGAAAUUGAGAACUCCUUUGGAAUGUGGGGAUCUAGCAGUACAAUCCAACAGACAAAGUAAUGUGUGCUGCUGCUUUAAUUUUAAUGUGAGCACUGUUCUAUAUUAAAGGUGUCUUGUUUUCUUCAUGACAUCUGUGAUGCAAUUCACUGCAAAAAAAAAAAAACUGAAUAUAUUUUUAUAUGACACAAAGCAUAUAGUAGGGAAAGUAUAAUUAAAAUGAUUAAGAAAAAUUUGCACUUAUGAACCCAAUUUUGAGUCCAAUUAGGUCAGAGCAAUUUGAAAUCUAGAAGCAGAUAAAAGAGGAUAAGGCCAUUAAAGUCUGUGGAAAGAUCCCUUUGACUUCAGUGGACUUUGCUGAUGUACCAAGUGCACUGAAAAAGAUCAAAAGAUCAAUAAAAACAGUGAAUUGUACCAGGAUCUCUUAAGUAUUUUACUUCAAUUAAGAAACUUACUUAGUAUCUCUUGUAAUGAAUAGCAUUUGCAGCAUCACUGACUUACAGGUUGUCCAUUCUUACUGAUUAAGUAGUACUAUAUUAACCAGUUGAUUUAUCUUCAUAAAAAAGAAGUAUGAAUAAUCAGUUAUAAAAGUUCCUAUCUAAAGUAUUUGAAAAUACUAAGACUGCCAAUUUUUCUCUACAGGAGAUGAACAAAAUCAAUGUUCUGUAUUUUCUGUACUGUAACCUUUUUAUCUAUUGGAAUAACUUAAGAUCCUAAUGCCUUUUUUCUCUGCUUAGUUAGCAGCAUAGGAAAGGCAGGCUAGUCGUGGUUCCAUUCUUCCAAGGAAAGGCUGAUGCUAAAAUAGAAAUGAUGCUAAAAUAAGUCAUUUUUCUCUUUAAUUUGUAUAAUUACUUGUGUGUGU